rnacentral:rRNA from 1 species
UACGUAGGGGGCAAGCGUUGUCCGGAUUUAUUGGGCGUAAAGGAGCGUGUAGGCGGCCACGCAGGUCCGUUGUGAAAACUGGAGGCUCAACCUUCAGACGUCGACGGAAACCGUAUGGCUAGAAGUCCGGAAGAGGAGAGUGGAAUUCCUGGUGGUAGCGGUGAAAUGCGCAGAUAAUCAGGAAGAACACCAUGGCGGAAGGCAGCUCUCUGGACGGUACUGACGGCUGAGACGCGAAAGCGUGGGGAGCGAAACAGG